CAGACCCUGGAAUAAACCAGACACAGUUAAGGUUGGACAAGUCGGGGGGAGGGGGAGGGGGAGAAAGCAGCUUGCCUGCAAAGAUACAGCUGCACAAGCACAUUCCACCCAGCUCUCCACACUCUGAUCUCUAACCCUCUCAUGUGGCUAGUGAGGUGAAUUUGCAGAAGCCCUUUCUAACAGUAGUCAAACACCCGCUAUGGGAAGGGGCACCAGAGAUUUCCAGGGGCAGUCCAUCCGAAGGGACAGUCAGAAUUAACAUCCAGGCCCAAGAUUUGCUUAUCUUCUGCCAAUCGCCUAAUUAACUACCUGGAUCAACCAAGAAGGUUGGAGAACAGCCGUGCAAUUAAAAAUUACCCUGCCAACUUGAAGCUUCAUCAACUGAAGAGUUAAAAGCAGUUUCAGAAAGAAAAUCGCACAAGCCCACAGAAAGCUGACUUGAGGCCCUGAGCCUGCAAACACAUACUGAACUUCAUACUCCCACUUUAAUGCAACUAAUCACAUGUAUACGUAUUUGAAGGAUCACCGACUAAGGCUCACACUGUAAAAGGUAUUUAGGUGCCCUAAAUAAGAUGGCCCUAAGUGACCAUUAAACUGACUCAACACCAUGUGCUGUCAAAUGUACUAUAAAAAAACAAUAUAUGAUUUGGGACAGGAAAUAAGGAAGAACCUCAUACCAAGUGAAAGGAUGGUCUAUUGAAUAGACUACUGGACUAGAACUCAAGAAACCUGGGUUCAGUUCCCGAGUCAGCCACAGAUUUCUUGUGUGACUUUGGGCAAGUCCCUAGAUCUCUCUGUGUAGCUGUUGAAUGGGAAGGGUACUUCCCUUUGUCUGAGAGGUGCUGAAAGGAUCAGAUACUACAGUGAGGAGGGCUGUUAAAGCAUACAGACAGGUGGAUAAAAGUGGAGGAGGAUGAAUGUAGGGAGACAGAAUGCCUUCCCAGGACACAGCUCAGCCGAGGCACCCAGGUGAUCACACCUAUAACUUUUGCUGCAUGAUCAGGAGCCAGAAACUCUGUUUUACAUCUCAUCUGAAAGGCGGCAGCCCAAAGCCCCCUUCCACUAUGCUGGGACUUUUGUUGCAAAGGGAUUUAAGGUGAACACUAGGACUUGUGGCACCUUAGAGACUAACAAAUUUAUUUGAGCAUAAGCUUUCGUGAGCUACAGCUCACUGCAUCGGACACAUCCAGUACGUGGAUGAGAAGCUGUCCCGGAGGAUCCUGGAGCAGGCUCAGAUCCAGCAGGAGGAGCUGGACGCAUCCGACGAAGCUCAUGAAAGCUUCUGCUCAAAUAAAUGUGUUAGUCGCUAAGGUGCCCCAAGUCGUCGUCGUCUUUUUUUUUUUUUUUUUUGCGAAUACAGACUAACACGGCGGCUACUCCGAAAGGUGAACGCUGCCGCCUCCUGAACUGCCAACACCACUUCCGGAAGCCUUCUGGGGAAAGCCUGGGAAAGACCAUAGCAUGUCUAUCCAGGCCUCGCUUUUAAUACUCGGUUUCAGAGUAUCCGAUGAAGUGAGCUGUAGCUCACGAAAGCUUAUGCUCUAAUAAAUGCUAGUCUCUACGGUG